CCUACGGGAGGCAGCAGUGGGGAAUAUUGGACAAUGGGGGGAACCCUGAUCCAGCCAUGCCGCGUGUGUGAAGAAGGCCCUCGGGUUGUAAAGCACUUUCAGUGAGGAAGAACGCCUGGUGGUUAAUACCCAUCAGGAAAGACAUCACUCACAGAAGAAGCACCGGCUAACUCCGUGCCAGCAGCCGCGGUAAUACGGAGGGUGCGAGCGUUAAUCGGAAUUACUGGGCGUAAAGCGCGCGUAGGUGACUUGAUAAGCCGGUUGUGAAAGCCCCGGGCUCAACCUGGGAACGGCAUCCGGAACUGUCAAGCUAGAGUGCAGGAGAGGAAGGUAGAAUUCCCGGUGUAGCGGUGAAAUGCGUAGAGAUCGGGAGGAAUACCAGUGGCGAAGGCGGCCUUCUGGACUGACACUGACACUGAGGUGCGAAAGCGUGGGUAGCAAACAGGAUUAGAUACCCCAGUAGUC
rnacentral:rRNA from 1 species